rnacentral:rRNA from 1 species
GACAGAGGGUGCAAGCGUUGUCCGGAAUUAUUGGGCGUAAAGAGCUCGUAGGCGGUCUGUCGCGUCGGCUGUGAAAUCCCGGAGCUCAACUCCGGGUCUGCAGUCGAUACGGGCAAACUGGAGUACUGCAGGGGAGACUGGAAUUCCUGGUGUAGCGGUGAAAUGCGCAGAUAUCAGGAGGAACACCGGUGGCGAAGGCGGGUCUCUGGGCAGUAACUGACGCUGAGGAGCGAAAGCGUGGGGAGCGAACAGG